rnacentral:tRNA from 1 species
AGGGCUUUAAGUUAAACUUUAAACUAUUAACCUUCAAAGUUAAAAAUAUUGCAGGAUUAGGUCCUA